UUGCUCUGUGUUCCCAGGCUUCCUCUUUUCCUUCGGUUGCCGUGUGUGUGCCGGACACCUGUGGCAGGACUAACCCCAUGGCUUUUCUGUCCAACGUGCUGUGUGCCUGCAGUGUCCUGUCCAAGACAAAGCUGCCCUUUCCUUGCGGGAAUGGACUGGCCGGGCUUCGGCAAUGUGGCCCCUCGAAAGACUAAGUGACCUCUUCCAACAGGGGAAGACUGAAGCAAGCGGUGCCAGAAAGAACUGGAGUUUCUGGAGAAUAAAAGCUGGCAGGAUGCCCCUGAAAA